UACGUAGGGGGCAAGCGUUGUCCGGAAUCACUGGGCGUAAAGGGCGCGUAGGCGGCCUGAUAAGUAGGGGGUGAAAUCCUGCGGCUUAACCGCAGGGCUGCCUUCUAAACUGUCAGGCUAGAGCACAGUAGAGGCAGGUGGAAUUCCCGGUGUAGCGGUGGAAUGCGUAGAGAUCGGGAAGAACAUCAGUGGCGAAAAGCACUCUGCUGGGCCGACACUGACACUGAGAGACGAAAAGCUAGGGGGAGCGAAAUGGGG
rnacentral:rRNA from 1 species